rnacentral:rRNA from 1 species
GACGAACGCUGGCGGCGUGCUUAACACAUGCAAGUCGAACGGGCCUUGUCCCCUUUUUUUUUGGGGGUGGGGUUAGUGGCGAACGGGUGAGUAACACGUGAGUAACCUGCCCCUCACUUCUGGAUAACCGCUUGAAAGGGUGGCUAAUACGGGGUGUUCUGGCCUGCUCGCAUGGGUGGGUUUGGAAAGAUUCGACCGGUUUUGGUUGUUUUGGUGGGGGAUGGGGUCGCGGCCUAUCAGCUUGUUGGGGGGGUGGUGGCCUGCCAAGGCGUUGACGGGUAGCCGGCCUGAGAGGGUGGGCGGUCACACUGGGACUGAGACACGGACCAGACUCCGACGGGAGGCAGCAGUGGGGAAUAUUGCACAAUGGGCGCAAGCCUGAUGCAGCGACGCCGCGUGAGGGAUGGAGGCCUUCGGGUUGUGAACCUCUUUCGCCAGUGAAGAAGGUCCUGCUCUUUGUGGUGGGGUUGACGGUAGCUGGGUUAAUGAAGCGCCGGCUAACUACGUG